rnacentral:rRNA from 1 species
CCUACGGGAGGCAGCAGUGAGGAAUAUUGGUCAAUGGGCGAGAGCCUGAACCAGCCAAGUCGCGUGAGGGAAGACGGUCCUAUGGAUUGUAAACCUCUUUUGCCGGGGAGCAAAAAGCGGUACGUGUACCGCAUCGAGAGUACCCGGAGAAAAAGCAUCGGCUAACUCCGUGCCAGCAGCCGCGGUAAUACGGAGGAUGCGAGCGUUAUCCGGAUUUAUUGGGUUUAAAGGGUGCGCAGGCGGCGAGUUAAGUCAGCGGUAAAAUUUCGGGGCUCAACCCCGACAAGCCGUUGAAACUGGCGUGCUAGAGUGGGCGAGAAGUAUGCGGAAUGCGUGGUGUAGCGGUGAAAUGCAUAGAUAUCACGCAGAACUCCGAUUGCGAAGGCAGCAUACCGGCGCCCAACUGACGCUCAGGCACGAAAGCGUGGGUAUCGAACAGGAUUAGAUACCCGGGUAGUC